rnacentral:rRNA from 1 species
GACGAACGCUGGCGGCGUGCCUAAUACAUGCAAGUCGAACGCAGUGGGGACGGGUGAGUAACACGUGGGUAACCUCCCAUCAGAGGGGAUAACACUUGGAAACAGGUGCUAAACCGAUACUGAUGGAUGGACCCGCGGUGCAUUAGCUAGUUGGUGAGGUAACGGCUCACCAAGGCCACGAUGCAUAGCACACCUGAGCGGGCGAUCGCAGAGACGGGGGCUGAGAAACGGCACAGACUCUUACGGGAGCCAGCAGUAGCGAAUCGUCGGCAAUGGACGCAAGUCUGACCGAGCAAGGCUGAGUGAGUGUAGAAGUUUUUCAGACCGUAAAUUCCUGUUGUUAGAGAAGCGGUAUCUAACCCCAAAGCCACGGCUAAACACGCGCCAGCAGCCGCGGUAAUUC